AUACUUACCUGGCAGGGAGACACCAUGAUCAAUCAGGUGGUUUUCCCAGGGUAAUUGUCUCUGAUAUGUCCUCCAUAGGAGGUCUAUAUUGAGCANNNN
rnacentral:snRNA from 1 species